AGUGAACGCUGGCGGUAGGCCUAACACAUGCAAGUCGAACGGCAGCACAGUAAGAGCUUGCUCUUACGGGUGGCGAGUGGCGGGCGGGUGAGGAAUACAUCGGAAUCUACUUUUUCGUGGGGGAUAACGUAGGGAAACUUACGCUAAUACCGCAUACGACCUACGGGUGAAAGCAGGGGAUCUUCGGACCUUGCGCGAUUGAAUGAGCCGAUGUCGGAUUAGCUAGUUGGUGGGGUAAAGGCCCACCAAGGCGACGAUCCGUAGCUGGUCUGAGAGGAUGAUCAGCCACACUGGAACUGAGACACGGUCCAGACUCCUACGGGAGGCAGCAGUGGGGAAUAUUGGACAAUGGGCGCAAGCCUGAUCCAGCCAUACCGCGUGGGUGAAGAAGGCCUUCGGGUUGUAAAGCCCUUUUGUUGGGAAAGAAAAGCAGCAGGUUAAUACCCCGCUGUUCUGACGGUACCCAAAGAAUAAGCACCGGCUAACUUCGUG
rnacentral:rRNA from 1 species